rnacentral:rRNA from 1 species
GAUGAACGCUGGCGGCGUGCCUAAUACAUGCAAGUCGAGCGAACGGACGAGAAGCUUGCUUCUCUGAUGUUAGCGGCGGACGGGUGAGUAACACGUGGAUAACCUACCUAUAAGACUGGGAUAACUUCGGGAACCGGAGCUAAUACCGGAUAAUAUUUUGAACCGCAUGGUUCAAAAGUGAAAGACGGUCUUGCUGUCACUUAUAGAUGGAUCCGCGCUGCAUUAGCUAGUUGGUAAGGUAACGGCUUACCAAGGCAACGAUGCAUAGCCGACCUGAGAGGGUGAUCGGCCACACUGGAACUGAGACACGGUCCAGACUCCUACGGGAGGCAGCAGUAGGGAAUCUUCCGCAAUGGGCGAAAGACUGACGGAGCAACGCCGCGUGAGUGAUGAAGGUCUUCGGAUCGUAAAACUCUGUUAUUAGGGAAGAACAUAUGUGUAAGUAACUGUGCACAUCUUGACGGUACCUAAUCAGAAAGCCACGGCUAACUACGUG